rnacentral:rRNA from 1 species
UGGCAGGUCAGCAUACUGCCGUGAAUACGUUCCCGGGCCUUGUACACACCGCCCGUCACACCAUGAGAGUUUGUAACACCCAAAGCCGGUGGGGUAACCUUUUGGAGCCAGCCGUCUAAGGUGGGACAGAUGAUUGGGGUGAAGUCGUAACAAGGUAAC